AACUCUCAAAACGCCCCCAAAUUCUUGGGGGUGUUUUGGACUUUGGGAGUGUUUUGCUGGUCUGCUUGAGCCAGCUCUCCUCAAAAGUGUUAGCUCUGGGAGACUGUCAGCGUGAUAACUUUGUUUAUGCUGAGUCUCUGAUGUUGUGUGCCCA
rnacentral:misc_RNA from 1 species